rnacentral:rRNA from 1 species
GAGGGUGCAAGCGUUAAUGGGAAUUACUGGGUAAAGCGUGCGCAGGGGCGGCCAAGUCAGUGUGAAUCCCCGGGCUUAACCUGGAAUUGCGCAUUGAAACUCUGUGGCUUGAAUGUGGCAGUAGUGGGGGUGAAUUCCACGUGUAGCAGUGAAAUGCGUAGAGAUGUGGAGGAACACCGAUGGCGAAGGCGGCCCCCUGGGUCAACACUGACGCUCAUGACAGCGAAAGCGUGUGGUAGCAAACAGGAUUAGAUACCCUGGUAGUCCACGCCCUAAACGAUGUCAACUAGGUGUUGGGGAAGGAGACUUCCUUAGUACCGCAGCUAACGCGUGAAGUCGACCGCCUGGGGAGUACGGUCGCAAGAUUAAAACUCAAAGGAACUGACGGGGACCCGCACAAGCGGUGGAUGAUGUGGAUUAAUUCGAUGCAACGCGAAAAACCUUACCUACCCUUGACAUGUACGCGAAGCCUGAUGAGAGCUGGGUGUGCCCUACAGGGAGCCGUAACAUCAUGGUGCUGCAUGGCGUGUCGUCAGCUCGUGUCGUGAGAUGUUGGGUUAAGUCCCGUAACGAGCGCAACCCUUGUCAUUAGUUGCUACAUUCAGUUGGGCACUCUAAUGAGACUGCCGGUGACAAACCGGAGGAAGGUGGGGAUGACGUCAAGUCCUCAUGGCCCUUAUGGGUUGGGCCUCACACGUCAUACAAUGGCCGAUACAGAGGGUUGCCAACCCGCGAGGGGGAGCCAAUCCCACAAAGUCCGUCGUAGUCCGGAUUGGAGUCUGCAACUCGACUCCGUGAAGUCGGAAUCGCUAGUAAUCGCGGAUCAGCAUGUCGCGGUGAAUACGUUCCCGGGUCUUGUACACACCGCCCGUCACACCAUGGGAGUGGGUUUCACCAGAAGCAGGUAGCCUAACCCCCGGGAGGGCGCCUACCACGGUGUGAUCAUGACUGGGGUG